rnacentral:rRNA from 1 species
AUUGAACGCUGGCGGCAUGCUUUACACAUGCAAGUCGAACGGCAGCGGGGGCUUCGGCCCGCCGGCGAGUGGCGAACGGGUGAGUAAUGCAUCGGAACGUGCCCAGUCGUGGGGGAGUAACACAUCGAAAGAUGUGCUAAUACCGCAUACGUCCUGAGGGAGAAAGCGGGGGAUCUUCGGACCUCGCGCGAUUGGAGCGGCCGAUGUCGGAUUAGCUAGUUGGUGGGGUAAAAGCCCACCAAGGCGACGAUGGAUAGGGGAACUGAGAGGUUUAUCCCCCACACUGGUACUGAGACACGGACCAGACUCCUACGGGAGGCAGCAGUGAGGAAUAUUGGUCAAUGGACGCAAGUCUGAACCAGCCACGUCGCGUGAAGGAAGACGGCCCUACGGGUUGUAAACUUCUUUUAUACGGGAAUAAAGUGCCCCACGCGUGGGGUUUUGCAUGUACCGUAUGAAUAAGGAUCGGCUAACUCCGUGCCAGCAGCCGCGGUAAGUACG